GGUAAAUGUACCGUCAAAACGCGAUGGCAAGAAAAUUAUGAUGCCACAGCUGCAGUGGAGGUGGGACAAAAAAACCAGGAAGAAAUCGGCAAAACAGUGAAUGGCAAAUGGGAACCAGAAAAGUGGAUAGGUUGAGGAUGGAGGAAGAAUUUAUGCGCACAAAAGCCAAGUUUGAAUGCCCUUAAAUAAUGAGUUUCCUUGCUAAACACAGUAAACCCUAAUGGAAU
rnacentral:lncRNA from 1 species